rnacentral:sRNA from 1 species
GCGGAUCUUAUAUCUUCACUUGGCAAACUCAACAAGAACGGAUGCUCUGCUCCUGAGACUGUCGCUGGUGGUUGGCAAAGAGGUGUUUUACACCGCCCUCUGGGGGAGCGUCCUGGCCAGCCCGUCCAUCCGCCUCCCUGCCUCAGUCUUCGUGGUGGGCCACAUCAACAGGGAUGCCCCCGGCCGGGAGCAGAAGUACAUGCUGGGGACCAAUCACCAACUCACGGUGAAGUCUUUGCGUGCCUCCCUGUUGGACUCAAAUGUUCUUGUGCAAAGAAAUAAUCUGGAAAUCGUUCUGUUUUUCUUCCCAUUUUAUACCUGUCUGGAUUCCAAUGAGAGAGCCAUCCCCCUCCUCAGAUCUGACAUCGUGCGCAUUCUCUCAGCUGCCACCCAGACCCUA